CCCAUUUCUCCCAGUGUCCCAAUGUCUCAGUGUGUCCCCAUGUCACUAGGAUACUGGGGACACUGAGAAACCCAGGGACACUGAGACAUUUAGGGAAACUGGGAGAAAUGGGGACACUGAGACACUAGGGACACAGACAUGGGAACACAGACACUGGGAGACUAGGGGACACUGGCUGGGAGACAGACACUUGGGGACACUGGGAGACA